AGAACGAACGCUGGCGGCAGGCUUAACACAUGCAAGUCGAACGCGUGUAGCAAUACACGAGUGGCGCACGGGUGAGUAACGCGUGGAUAUCUGCCUUUUGGUUCGGAAUAACCCCGGGAAACUGGGGCUAAUACCGGAUGGUUCCUACGGGAUAAAGAUUUAUCGCCAAAAGAUGAGUCCGCGUACGAUUAGCUAGUUGGUGAGGUAAUGGCUCACCAAGGCGACGAUCGUUAGCUGGUCUGAGAGGACGAUCAGCCACACUGGGACUGAGACACGGCCCAGACUCCUACGGGAGGCAGCAGUGGGGAAUAUUGGACAAUGGGGGCAACCCUGAUCCAGCCAUGCCGCGUGAGUGAUGAAGGCCUUCGGGUUGUAAAGCUCUUUUGGCGGGGACGAUGAUGACGGUACCCGCAGAAUAAGCCCCGGCUAACUUCGCGCCAGCCAGCCGC
rnacentral:rRNA from 1 species